GGUUGUUUUCCUCUGAUCCUGUCUAGGUAAACUGGCAUGAGAUAUGAAAUUUAGAUAACAAUUCAGAAACUUGUUUUACUUUAUUUGGCUAGUCAUGGACUUGGAAAAGUACACGGACACAACAUGAAGCUGCCAGUAAUCAGCUGCCACUAUUGUCCACGCGGUAAGAAUCUGACAAGAGCCACUUGUCAACAGUGGUUCUCCAUCUGAGAAGCACGAAAUGUCUACAUCAUGGGUGAUGCAGUGACCUCUACAAUGCGAAAACCUGAGGUGUGGACUCACCUACUGGCAAACUGAGGAUUUCUGACCAUUUGAUUGCUAUGUCCACAGAAGAUUUGCAAUAGUAAAGAAAAAGUAAAAUAACUGGAGUUAUAUGGACAGUGGUUCAUGCUUUGUUAGAUCAAUUAAUGAAACUUUUUUUUUAAAGGCAUCUCUGGGAGUUCACUCCUAUUAUAUUCAAUUCAUCAGUUUUAAUCUAAUUUAAUAAUGUCUCUGUGCUUCAACAUAUUGCUAAAAGGAUUCAUGAACAGCUACAUAUGUUCUCUUGAUGAGAGGAGCUUUUGUAUGAGCUUUUCAGAGCAGUCAGCAACUAAACACAUGAAACAUCUGCCGUGUUUCCCUGGACAGCUCUAAGGUGGCUAAGUAGGAGAGCAAACACCACAGCACUUUGCAGUCCUGUUUGACCACCAAGGGCUGAAUUAGUUCCUGCUUCCUAUUCGUAAAUUUUUAUUAAGAAUAAAAGAAGUAUCAUACUCAUUAAUCCAAAGUUCGCCUACCCUAAUGUUCUGCUUCCAACAGCAAGCAAUACUUGGCAUCACGAGAGCAGCAUAAAUGUGCAGCGAUGCUUUCCCAGCACACUUUCCCGGUGUCCUGUUUACUACUAAAAGGUUCUGGAACCUGGGGUGAUGACUUUGUAUUCAGAGACUAUUUUCUUCUGUGGAUUUGUACAUACAUGUACAUGUCUAACAUGCAAAAUGCCCUUUGACAAGGAGUUCCAUAAAUUAACUACUCACUGCUGAA